GACGAACGCUGGCGGCGUGCUUAACACAUGCAAGUCGAACGGAAAGGCCCUGCUUUUGUGGGGUGCUCGAGUGGCGAACGGGUGAGUAUCACGUGAGUAACCUGCCCUUGACUUUGGGAUAACUUCAGGAAACUGGGGCUAAUACCGGAUAGGAGCUCCUGCUGCAUGGUGGGGGUUGGAAAGUUUCGGCGGUUGGGGAUGGACUCGCGGCUUAUCAGCUUGUUGGUGGGGUAGUGGCUUACCAAGGCUUUGACGGGUAGCCGGCCUGAGAGGGUGACCGGCCACAUUGGGACUGAGAGACGGCCCAGACUCCUACGGGGGGCAGGAGUGGGGAAUAUUGCACAAUGGGCGGAAGCCUGAUGCAGCAACGCCGCGUGCGGGAUGACGGCCUUCGGGUUGUAAACCGCUUUCGCCGGUGACGAAGCGUGAGUGACGGGAAUGGGUAAAGAAGCACCGGCGAACUACGU
rnacentral:rRNA from 1 species